ensembl:lncRNA
UGUGAACACCUUAACUUACAUGGCAAAAGGGUUUUGCAGCUGGGAUUAACUUUAGCAUUUGGGGAUGGGAAAAUGAUCUUGGAUGGCCCACGUGAGCCCAGUGUAAUCACAGCGUCCUUAUAAGAGAGCAGGAGGAUCAGAGUCAGAGGAAGGAGAUGUAAAAAUGGAGAGGGUCAGAGAGGAGAGGAAAUGCUACCCUGCUAGCUUUGAAUACAGGGAAGAGUCUAGGAAUGCUGACAAUCUCUAGAAGCUGAAGGAGAGAAGGAAGUAAAGACAAGAAAGCAGAUUCUCCCUGGAGCCUCCAGAGUGGAACGCAGCCUUAUCAACAUCUUGAUUUUAGCAAGGAUGUCCUACAGAUGGACUAGCCUUGGGAGCCCUUGAAUUGGAGAGGAAUCUGGGAUGAAAAAGAUUAAGCCCUGCUGGCCUAACAUCAGCUCUUGGCUUUCAAAAACAUUAGCAUAUGCCCUUGUCAAAUCUGUGAGAGAUGGUUUUGGAUCAGAAAUAACCACAUGUGGGACCCGACAAUCUGAGUUUUGCUUACAGAAAGUGAACAGCACUUCCCAAACUUGGAACGCUGCCUUCUUUUUGAAUCUUCUCUCAACAAUAUGUGCAUGAUCCUUACUGCAAACCAUAAACUAAACUAAAUUCUAAAGGGAUUUAAGAGGUAAAUGUAGAAGAUGAAAAAAAAAUUUUUUAACUAAAAUAAAAUUUAGAUGAAUAGCAUUUAUCUUGCCCGCACUUAAGAAAGGAAUCUAAACAUAAAAACAUUAAGAAAAAAAAUAUAGACUUUAUUGUAUAGAAGUUAUUUUAUUGUGUAAAAGUUCUGCACAUAAAACAAUCUAAACCCAAAAAGCCAGACUAUUUUCAUUAGUAUGUAAAGAUUUAAUAGCCUUCAUUUGUAAAACACUUAUAUAAUCAAUGAGAAAAGUGAUUUCUCAACAGAAAGAUUAGCAAAAGACACUGACACUUUUAAGAAUAAAAAGUAAACAUAUCUAUGAAAAACAUUUUAUAAUGGUCAGCACUACAGUAAUAAAUGGAAAUUAAAAUGAGAUAUUCAAUCUGACCUGUUACUUUUGUACGUAUUUCAAGAAUUAUAAUACUUAAUACUGGCAAAUGUACAGAUUUUCUGGAAAGCAUUUUAUCAAUAUGUGCCAAAAAAACUUUAAAGUUUCCAGGCAAACCAGGAUAAGGUUGUAUGUAUAAUAUUAUUUUUUAUCAUGCUAUUUACAAUGGCUAAAAACUAGGGGAAAAUUUAGAUGUCUAAAAAAGAAAAGUAUGGUUAAUGUAAUUAAACCUUGUCAUGGAAAAGAUUUUUUAUGAAAUUGUGAAAUCAUUAAAAAAUGCAUGUGAAAUAAUAUAGAAUGAUCAGAAAGAAACUGUGCAUAGAUGUAUAUAGUGUCAUUUCAAUGAUCUGAACCUGUAUAUCUGUGUGUAUAGGGCUUCCCUGGUAGCUCAGCUGGUAAAGAAUCAGCCUACAAUGCAGGAGACCCUGGGUUGAUUCCUGAAUCUGGAAGAUACCCUGGAGAAAGGAUAGACUACCUACUCCAGUAUUCUUGGGCUUCCCUGGUGGCUCAGAUGAUAAAGAAUCCACCUGCAAUGAAGGUGAC